GUACUACGUCAUAUUGCAUGUGUUUUCUUUAUCAAAUAUGGGAUUAGGUAAACACAGCUAUAGGCCUAUGUUGUUAUACACUACGUGUGACAAUUUUAUGUUAUCGGGCAUAUGUUUAUGGGAAUCAGAUACGCAGCCGUCACAGCCUGCUGAUGAAGAUCCUCAGCUUAUACAUAGAUCAGGCUUGAGCUAUGUGCUGAUUCAAAAGAUGCUAAUGACAGUGGAUAAUCCUUUCUGAGUUGUUCUAGGACCAUUCACCAACGUUUCAAAACACUGAUGGAACUGAAGGCAGUACGUGUACUGGUGUCUGGCCUGUGAUUUCAAGUAUAAUUGAUGUACCUCCUCCUGAUGUAUCUCCUUGAAUACAAUAUAUCUGCCAUGUGAAAGGAACAAGCUGCAAGAUAUACUGUGGAAGUGGGGGCCUAUGUAAAAAACAUUUUAUUUAA
rnacentral:lncRNA from 1 species